rnacentral:rRNA from 1 species
UACAGAGGGUGCGAGCGUUGUCCGGAAUCACUGGGCGUAAAGGGCGCGUAGGUGGCCUGAUAAGUACGGGGUGAAACCCUGCAGCUUAACUGCAGGACGGCCUCGUAGACUGUCCGGCUUGAGCAUGGUAGAGGCUGGUGGAAUUCCCGGUGUAGCGGUGGAAUGCGUAGAGAUCGGGAAGAACAUCGGUGGCGAAGGCGGCCAGCUGGGCCAUUGCUGACACUGAGGUGCGAAAGCGUGGGGAGCAAACAGG